UGUUUAUCCAUGCUUAAGUCCUGAGAACCAGCUGGUUGGAAGGCUUUGGGGGCUAUGUUUUGUUGUUGAAGAGAAGGAUUUUGGAGAUAUUUCGUGGUCCUAUCUCAGCAGGAAGUUGAGCUAAAGCUUGUUUAAGGGUUGGAAUCAGCAGCGGAAAAAGAGACGUUUUGCUGUACUCUAACUCAGUUGGAUCUGGGUUAUUGAUUGGACAAGUUCCCAGCAGAGUCGCAGCAGGGAACGUGAACCCUGCGGCUAGGUUUUGGUGACUGUUGGAGCAGAAUUUGGAGAUGACUCUUCGACCCUAAGCUAAGGAAAAACUGGGUUGAAGUUGGAGAAGCAGGUUUGAGAAUCACCUUGAGCUGAGUUUAGAGACUCUUGCAAGCUGAUACUAGUGUGCUUCACCCUGAUUUGAAGUGGAGUGCUUAUUGGAAGGCUAAACUAGGUUUACAGCAGAAUUGCAGUAGGAUAUAGAUCCUUUCUAGCUGAACAUUGGGAGCUUUCGAAGACUACUUUCGGUGUACCAAUCUGAACCGAAGUGAGGAAGUAAGCUUUGCUACUUUACUAGGUGGCUUAGAAGCUUCGGAUUACCUUCGGUUAUGGAAUCGACGAGAGUCGACAGCAAUUAGAGUCUUCCACGGCGGGAAAGGCUAGGGAUUUCUGGCGAGGGGUCAAUGUUUAAUAGAGCCUUCUUGAUGUUAAAUAGAUGAACCUCUACUGAUUUAUUUUGAUUUAGCUUAGUGUUGUAUUCUAGAUUUAUGUAGAAUGUACUUGUUUAAGUUGUAAUAAGGUUUUGUGUUGUAUAAGUUUACUAUACUUUUUAAGUUGUGCUCUGACUACCUG